CUCAUUCGCAUUCUACAGUUGCAUUGAACUAUUGUAUGAAGGAAGAACACGGUACCUUUUCACAUGAUCUUUCCUUGACCUACAGUAUGACAUGAGGUGUCUCUCAUCCACCUCUCCUGUGUUUGAUAACCGGACUCCAUAUUCCAGCAAUCUCCUCACAUCUCUAGGAAUGGGGCUUUGCCAUUGGCCGUCCCACCAAGCAGGUGCCAGGAGUGGGGUCAAGGCACAUUGGUGCUGUUGAUGUUGGCAGCUCAAAGGGCCAGCAUAUCUGUUCCAGAUAUGGCCCCAGCCACCCUGUGACGAGAGGCCGUCAACCAGUAGGUUGCUGUGGACACUGCUUAAGAAUGUGAAGUUUGUGCCUGAAGACUCACGACCUGAUACAAGACAAUUGCACAGUUAUUUAGAAUUCGGUCUUCAUACUGAAUUGUUCCAAACAAAAUAGAACGGGUAUGAAAGAAAGGGAUAUGCACCAAAUCUGUUAGCUGCAGCCAAUGCUGCAAUGAGUUGUGCAUAGGUUGUCCCUACACGUCGGUGUGCUCCAGUGACCACUGCAUAUCUGGCUUGGGAAGCCAGAAAGAAAUCAACAAAUGCUGCCCACCUUGGAGCUGAACCCCAGUCUCUUGAACGGAAAUCCAAAGCCUGCAGAGGAAGGAACUUAAUUUGGGCAGGAAAUUGGUUCUUACAAGUGUAAUAGCAACUUGCAGAGAUCUCUAUUGAAAAAUAUUUAAAAUAAGAUAGGCUGAAUUAUGUUAACAAAAUUGUAGAACCACUCCCAUCGUUUUUAUUUUUGCAAUAUUUAAUACUCAAUUAAUCACGUGAUAAUGAUAUGUAUCAUUUCGUGUCCUGAUUAGGUCACUUAAUUAGUUAGAUCAAACAAAGCCUUAGUAUUCCUUAAAGAAAACAAAGAGAGUAAUUAUUAAGUCUAUUUAGAUGAGUAAGACACAAAGAGCUAAAUAUGAUUUUAUGUGAUAAUUUUUUAAUUAAAAUAUAGCUAAUAUGUGAUGUACUCGUAAUAUUUUUUAAUAUAGAAAUUCAGAUACCUCCUUUUCUUUUAUAUAGUAGGUUCAUAUAUGUACUUGGAAACAUAUAUCUUCCCAAUCGUAAGUACAUUAUGCUCUUAUUCCUUUUUUGUUAAGCAGUAUACGUACGUACACGGUAAUUUAUUUUCCCGGUAAUAGAACGUACAUGUUUUUCUCCGGUGAAUAGUUGUACAUACACGGGAGACUUGUCUUUUUCUUCAGUUCUUUUUAUUGUGGCAGAUUAUCUAAGAUAAUGGGUCCACAAAUUUAAAUGAAAAUCAACGAUACACAUAGAUCUGAUCUAAUGGUUUAAAUUAAUGAGUCCACCAAUUUAAGUGAAAAUCAAUGGUGAGAUUAAACAGUGCCACAUGGCGGUUUGGGAGUGUUUAUAGAAGCGCCACAUGGCGGCUCAGGAGCGUUUGUAGGAAGUUUAAUGGACUUUUAGUAUAUAAUAGAUCUAACACCCGGGAAGAUACUUCUCACAUUUUCAGUAAACAGCACUGAGAAACUGUGGCAAACAUAGUGAUGGAUCUUUCAAGAGAGUAUAUUGUACCUUUUCACUUCCAGUUAUCUCUAGAUCAAAACUCCUGGAGAACUUUUUGUGAUCAAAAUAAAUCACCUGCUUAAAAAGUAGAUCAUAAUCAUCAAUUCCCCUUCCUUUUAGAAAUUCCAAGCUAAUUAACUACGAAAACUAUCUAAUCAUAACCCAUUACAUUUGAAUAAAACUAUGAAGUCCUUGAGAUAACAUUCGACAAAGUAACUAACCUCAGCAAACUCACUGAUGUCUUGCUUUAUAUCCUUGGCAAAGCCUGGUGUAUCUGAAAUUACUGCUACCCGAGGUGUACCCUUCAAAUGACAAAUCUCUAUAGCUCUCUUAAUACAAUUAACUGCAGCUUUUCUUGCUCGAACUGGCCUAGUCAAAAAAUGAGUUAUGUUCAGCAGUUCAACCCAGAUGACGUGGAAAGGUCGCUAAUAAAUUUGAUCUGCAUAAUCGUAAUUUGUAGGUGGUGGAGGUUCUCAUAUCGAUAAGGUGCAAAAAACGUCAAAUCAGACAUUACCAUUUGCAUUAGUUUAUUGAAAUUUCUGAAACAUUUAUAAUCAAUCCUGCUUGUAAACAUAUAGAAGAGAAAUGUUAAAAAAUUAUUAAUUAGACAACAGGAAAGAAACGAAAAAAAUAAGAGGUUGACAGGCCAGUUUGCUGAACUAUAAUGAAUCACACUAUCUAUUAAUCAUACAAAUCUUUACUGAUUCAAGUGGGAUUUUGACGUUAUGAUGUAACAUAUGCUUUCAGCUAACUAGUAAUUACUGUAUCAAAAUGGAAUUUAAUUGCUUUUACAAACAAAUGCAAUGUCAAACAGAUCCUUAUGUUUCAGUUGACAACUGCACCAAGAGUUUCUGUUCACAUCUACAGGUGGAAGCAGCAUAUUUCAAGGCUAACUGAUGAACCAGUUAUUUUUUGACGUGAAGUUUACAACGUCAAAUUUGACAAUAUCCUAUUAUGUUUUCAAAUGAAUGUGGAAAUUUACAUCUAUUUCCUUCCUUUAUGCCACAGAUAGUGCUUCAUACCUGUUUGUCAUCAUGCGCAUGUGCAAUACAAUAUCAGGACUGGAACCCUUUAAAGCCCAUUGAACUGCCUUUUCAACUGUCUGUGAAGGAGAUAUUAUAACUUGCAUAAGUUCACCAAAUGUAUUAGGUCUCGCACGUAAUGAGCCAGG
rnacentral:sRNA from 1 species